UAAACCGUGGCUCAGUUCAGAUCGUAGGCUGCAACUCGCCUACGUGAAGGAGGAAUCGCUAGUAAUCGCAGGUCAGCAUACUGCGGUGAAUACGUUCCCGGGCCUUGUACACACCGCCCGUCACACCAUGGAAGUUGGCCACGCCCGAAGUCGUUACUCCAACCCUUGUGGAGGAGGACGCCGAAGGUGGGGCUGAUGACUGGGGUGAAGUCGUAACAAGGUAGCCGUACCGGAAGGUGCGGCUGGAUCACCUCCUAACA
rnacentral:rRNA from 1 species